UCUACCCAGCACGCGGAAAAAAAAGAAGAACUCACGAAAGAAAAAAAAAAAACUCGUCCGCUGCACAUAUACCACUGAUAUUACCGGGAGAUCCCUUCCUUCAGGUCGACCCGCUGCACUUAUCUGUCCUUCUCUUUAUUGCGUCUCCUUUGAGGAACAACAUUUGCAGUGCCGGUAAUCCACGUUCAAACUCGUAAUUUGACCGAGGUUCGGAAGAGCCAUCGCAGAAUGAGUGAGAGACACACAGGUUAUCCGGAUCCAAGACAGGAAAGAAAAACCAGCCCGUUCUAGAAGUUGUCAACCAACGUAGUCAGAUCGGACUGUUUUGGAGAGAGAUGACCGGUGCGUAUUCCCGGUAACGCACCGCUUGGCCACAGCGUCGUCUCGGGUCUGUGCGACGCCAAGAAUCAGACUGCAGACUGCCUCUCUCUCUCUCUCUCUCUCUCUCUCUCUCUCUCUCCCCCUCUCUCUCACUCCCCCUCCACCGCGGCCCUCUCCCCCACCACUUCACAUUUAUGAGUUAAAGGACAUUAACCGACUUAUUGAGUCAUAAACUAAUAUGGUCCAUUAGAUGAAUAUCUCUCGGUGAUAAUUAAAACAAUAUGCUAAUAUACUAAUAAUAACAAUACAAUUCUAACCAGUAAUUCUACCAAUUCACUAAGGUAAAAUCGAGGGGUCCACAACGAGGCCAUUGUCUCCAUCCAUUAAGUCCAAUCAUGGGCCCGCCCGGUGGUUUAACAUGGAUGUCCACUUUCUGCUCACCAGACGUGAAAUUGAUGCUUAACAGGCUGGAACCCUGGACCGUAAAUUUGAAUGUCAUUUCCACUUCUCCAUAUGAGGGUGUAAUUAGUUUUUCGCAAUGCGCCGUCCGUGGAAACAAUCGCGAUAAUGAAAUGCGCGUCGGCCUUCGACCCUGUUUUUAAGAUGGGGGGGGGUCAUAAAAAGUGUUACCGCAGCAUUCAAUUAAAUUGUGCCAACCCUGGUGUGCGCCUGCAGCUCAUGGUCAGGUUGUUUAGCAUUCUGUAGACUAAUAUGACACCUAUUAUCAGUCUGUUAAUGCCGCUGGUCUAUUUAUGCUCACGCACACGCAUUCUGCUGCGCGUGAGUUUGUUCUCCGAUAGCCAAUGCUGCGUAAUUGGUUUGUCCAGUUUAUUGUCAAAUUGAAAGAUUAUCCAAUUUGAAAAAUUAAAGAUAAUUCGGGAAGGUCCAAAGCCGCAAAAAGAAAAUGGUCGCCUUCUCGAUAAACCAAUAAACUGGUUUGAAGGGCUAAAUUGAAUAAAUAAUCAAAUCACAUGACAAAUUAAUUAUAGGGGCGAAUGUUACAGGCCAUAUCCAUUAAUGGAAGUUGUUCAGUGAAACCCAGAACGUGUUAUUUAAAUACAAGUGUAUUGACCAUUUUGAAUGACUUUAUAGCAUGAAACGUUUACCAGCUUUGCCAAAUGCAUUUGUGAACAAAUAGUGUCGAGGUAUUAGCAAGUUGGGCUUUUUUGAAUUGUGUUCACUAUUUUUUGCCUUCCAUACAUUGAUCACCAAGACAAACGAGUUUAAAAAAAAACGCAACUUUUACUUUGAAGGGGAAACCUUGCGUUUUCCGGCUCUGCACUUCCCCGACUCUUCUUAGCGUGAAUUUAAGUAACAAUCCGAAGGUUUUUUGCAUUGCACGUGUUCUUACAAUAGAACACAAGUCAGUGCCUCUAAACUGACAUUCUAGAGUCCUUUCGGUGUGCCAUGGCAACCCGCCAAAUAAUGUUUCCUUACAAAAAGCUGGUUAGAAAUAAACCAUCGGCCGGCCGUAAAGAAAAGCUUGUGCGUGUGGACAACAACACGGAGACAACAUGAUGCCGUGGGGAAGGUCUCGCAUCGCGACAGCCACUCCAAAACACUUGGUGGGUGCGUUCGCGCCGUUUCCGCGCUCCACGUGGAUCCACGCUGACGUCCCGCGGGACAACUACGACCGCAUCUGCGAAAAAAUCUGGAGAGCAGCAAACGAGGCCGAGGAGGAGUUUGGCAGAGGAGCAAGUCCACCAGAGAGGCAGAGGGAUGAAGAGGGCAGGAGAGUAGACGACACACCAACUCAUCGGGCCAAGGAGCAGCAGAAGGAGGCAGAUGACUUUGGUCUGAGCACACGCUACGAGGAGGACGCGCAGCGGCACCACACAGCCUUCGCACUUCCUUGCCCCCGUCUCUCGGGCCACAGACCUCCCCCUGUGGCCGAGCCUGCACGGGAACUGAAGCCUGUGAUGGAAAAAGAGAUGAAACGAGCCAGGGAGGCGAGAGGGAACGCGGGUUUGUCACGUCGGGAGGAAGAAGCGGGAGACGGACAAACUAGCGUGUCAAAUGACGUUAAGGGGAUCAUUGUCCCGGAAUCCACCGGCAGAGAAAACAGCUCUGAACCUCAACCUCAACCUCCGGCGCCGGAUCCAGUCUGCUCUGCCACUGCGGACCGAACCCUGCGCCUGGAGGAUGAUGAAGAUCCUCAGCAUGCUGCAUGCGAAAGCAGAGAUGGCGAGAAUACAACUAGCAGUUGCGACAGUGAUUCCAGCGAUGAUGAUGAUGAUGAUGAUUUUGUAAGCCUACCUGGGGCGAGAAGUUAUGCCACAGAUAACAGUCGUGGUGAAUCAGAGAGUGAAAACGACAGUGACGGAGAGAUAAGUGAGAUGUUGCGCUCACUUGAAGGAGCAUGUUCCAACAGCGAGCAGGAUUCCCUGUGUUCUUUCACAGCGGAAGACUUUCCACUCCUAUCUGCCACAAAGGCUGGCAACCCACCACGUCCCACGGAGCCCCCAGCCUGGGGGAAGAUGAAGAGCCACUGGGAGAUUCCCCUUUCAGCCUGGCCAUGCGACUUCCCCGCUGCCACUUUGGCAAGCUGCGUGACCGGCCGUGCCCAUGCUCCGGUCCGAGGCAAAGCCGGAGCACCUGAGGCGAGCUCGCUGAGCAACGCACCAGCAGCCCCAGAGGAGCAGCCUUACAACCUGCUGGCUGACUUCCCAGCCCUGCAGCCCUCAAAGAAACCUUUAGCACUGGGUGUGUGGCGUGAUGGGAAUCCAGAGACCAAGGUUGCGGAGGGGAACAGAGGGCACGCUCGCACAAAAAUCCAAUGCCAAGGAAGAGGGGGUUCCUGUCGGAGGAAAAUUCAAAUUGUUCCCCUCGAGGUCCCCUCCGUCUGCACACGAGAUCAAAAAUCCGUAGGCAAUUCUCCCACCGUCAGCGGCGAGGAACUGAAGGCCAGCAACCAGCCGACUCCUAGAGCAGUUUGCAGCGUCAUAACACAGCCCUGUGGAUUUAGCGGCACUGAGUCGAUCCCUCGAGGGGGCGCGGCCCAAAGAAUUCCCUUGCUGGGUACAGAUGGCGUGGACACCAAUGCCAGGUCCUGGGCCAGCGUUGCCAAGAUGGGCCUGGAGUAAGCAGCUGCCCCCCCGGAAGAAAGCCAGACCUUGUACCCUUCAGCAGAUAGUUACCGUUAACAUAGCCAAAGGAAAGGAGUUUCCCUUUGAGGAUUCAGCUCUCUCUCAAGUUGUGAUGCCAGGCGGCUCUUCGCGCCUGACCGAUUUCGCUACUCCGAGAUGUUGCCGCGUCGGCUACGAGGGAGAAUCAGGGGACAAUGUGUCCCUGUGCUGUUUUUGGAACGUGGCGAGGGCCAAGUAGACCUGGAGGGGCGUCGCUUUCCUUCGUAAGGAGGGUUGAAGAGGAGACGCGAGAGGAGCCGGCAGCAUCCUCGUCUCUCGUCCUUGAGCAAUAAUCCUUCACGCGUCCUCGCAACGCGUUCCCUCGGCUCUCGCCCUCGUACCCGAUGAUGCACCGUGACGACGCCCCGGGAAGCCCAGAUUGUUGCCCGUCUUUCCUGACAGAGCAGGAGUUUUUCGGCAUCCAUCACCCCUGACCCCCCCCCCCCAUCCAACCCGGUGCCACAAAGCCACUUCCAACAAUGCAGCAGGGCGAGAUGAAUGAGCCUGCGUCGUAAUGUCCCACGAGCCACCCAAAUAAAAAAAAGCGACUUCUGG
ensembl:lncRNA